AAACCAGCACCUCAAGUGGUCAGGAUGAUUAUUGGGCCUAAAGCAUCCGUAGCCUGUUCUGUAAGUUUUCGGUUAAAUCUGUAUGCUCAACAUACAGGCCGCCGGGAAUACUGCAGGACUAGGGAGUGGGAGAGGUAGACGGUACUCGGGAGGAAGUGGUAAAAUGCUUUGAUCUCUCGAUGACCACCUGUGGCGAAGGCGGUCUACCAGAACACGUCCGACGGUGAGGGAUGAAAGCUGGGGGAGCAAACCGGAUUAGAAACCCGAGUAGUCC
rnacentral:rRNA from 1 species